AUGGCCAAGAUCAGAGAGGAUACAGCAUGGUUCAUGAUGUUGGAUCCAGCAGAGAUAGUGGCCCUGACCCCUAACUGUCAAGGAGGAGAAAAGCAACUGGCAGGAGACUUACUAAGAGAAGUUACAGCAUCAUCGUCACUUUCUGCAAGGAUUCAACACAACAUCAUUCGUCAGCACCAGCUCCCCAAGCGUAAGAAGAGAGUAGAGUGGUCAGGAGGCAUCGGCAUCGAGACUGGUGUGGCUCUCUCCAGAGUGUGA
rnacentral:lncRNA from 1 species